CGCCGAUGCGACCCUCUGGCAACAGUCAGGCCUGCCCUGGGGUGGGCAGCAAAGGAGACCUGUCCCUGAUGCUGUCCCCUCCCGAAUAUCUUCACAUGUCCUCCAUCCCGUGAUGCACUGCUCAGGAAAGGAUCGUUGAGCAGAGGGAGUGGCCGUCGAUGGAGGCCGUGACCCGCCCCUCGUGGGCUCCUCUGACUAGGUCGGGGAGGAACUUUUUUUUUAAGUGUCCGUGGAGGAAUCGUCCCGUUGAGCAAUGACCGGGUGACGCGACCCAAGGCUAUAAAAGCAAAACUUGUGGCCCCCAUCAGCAGGAGUUAGUGACGAGGAGGGCUACCAUCUGGUCUUAGAGUCGGGGAGGAAGUGGCUAGUUUAGGGCUCAGAUGAGAGAGGUGGCAGACCUACAGGCAGACGCUAGCAUGGGGGUGGGAGAAGGAAAAUUUACUAUUAAAGAGACUAGGUUUGGGGACAGUGGUCGUGUGGACGGCAGCUUCCAAAGCGCCUUCAACAAUCCACACAGGGGCAGCAUCCUUCAAGACCAGACUGGCCCUGCGGUCUGUUGGAGUGGGGGGACCUAACCUCCAGGAGGUCACAUGCUCACAGGGCCCUACAUGGACCCAGUGUUCUCGCUCUAGUGGCAGAGCAGGAGAUGUAGACAGGUGGACUCGGGUCCUUGUGGCCCUGGAUCUCCUGGAAGAUAGGCAGUGGGGGUCAGCUUUGAACUUGACAAUGGCAGCAGACCCUUUUUUUCCAGAUAGGGGUUGUGAACCUGCCUGGGGAUGAGGCCCGUCCUAUGGAACGUGGACUCAGCUUCACGGGGCUGAGAGCUCCGGCCCCGGGUGGUGGCAGUUCCCCUCUGGACUUUCCCUAGGUUCCGUGGCUCUCUCUUCUGUGAACUCCCUCCUCCCCUUCUCCCUCUAACUCUGAGGUUACAGGUUCCCUUAACCUUGCCUCUUGGUCAUCUGGUAAGCCUGGGAAAGGUAGAGAGUCGGUGUUGGCGUCUUGGACUCGGUAUUUUGGUAUUACUGGGGAAAGUGGAGGACACCCUGACUUGGGAGGGGAGGAUGGGAUCACAGCCAUGGUUUCUUUCACCCGAAUGAAUGCCUCAUGGACGUGGUUUAUUACUGUAGUGUUCAUCAUGGCAAGCAGAUGGCACCAGGAGAAAUGGAACCCCUGCAGUGCAGGAGGGCAGACCCUGGAGGAGACAGCGACCUAAGCUGAUGCCUACACAGUGAAUUCCAGAGCUUAGGAAGUCCUGCACUGCCAUGUGUCCAGGCCUUACUCAGGAAGCCCUGUGUUUGGAAGGCCGUCGUCCUAAGUGGUUCAGAUCAGCCUAUGUGGGUGGGGAUGGGCAGACCCUUCCAGCUGGAGGGGCUGUCGCCUAGGAAUGUUCCGGAUGAAUGUCUCGUUCUGGGAGCAUCGUUCUCCCGGAUGCGUGAAUGCCAGCCAGCACCCUGCUUCCUGGGGGUAGAGGCAUUCAGCUGCUGCAUCUUCUAAAUCAAGCCUCCAGUCUUUAGUUCUGUGCUACGAACUUGGCUUCGAGAAGAUUGCUUAAGGUGUAGAACACUUAACUUUGACGCCCUCAACACGGCCCUUGUAGAUGGUGUUUACAGGAGGAGCCCGGUGACCUCGCCCACCUUCCCUGCUUCUGCAGCCUACGGGCCUCUGCAUUGGUCAGAGGCCUUCUUAAGUGUGAUAAAAACUUUUGGGUAUUGGGGAAAGCUGUUCAUUUUCAAAUGGCUGGACUGGAAGAGUAUUAGCUGAUUAUUAAAAUUGAUGGGGUGUCGUGUUUAAAGAGAAUGGGAGGGUACAAGUUGGCUGCAAGUUCUGUUGGGAUAUGUAUAUGGCAUGUCUACUUUGUGCAUUCGGAUGGUAUCUGGGAAUUUUUUGUGGGUUUGGUUUUGGUACUGGGUGAUAAGUAGGUGCUACCCUACUGAGUGACCACUGUUAAUUGUUCCUUUUCAUUUCUGACUUGGGGCCUGGCAGCCUAUACCAGGCUGGCCUUGGCUCUUAAUACCGCUGGGAUUAGGGGUGUCAUCUAAAACUUCCAGCUUAAACUUGAGUUACUGGAUCAGGCAGGCUUCAGAGGUGGGAUUGCCAGAGGGAGCAGGGCUCAGCUUGGCAUUGGUGUCUUGGCCAGAGGCUUGGUGUGUGGGAUUGGGGUGCAGGCGAGGGGUGUGGCUUGCUGAGAGUGAUGAUUGGGGACACGUAGCUCAGGAUGGAAACACUGCUGGUAAAUCCUUACUGUGGGUAAAUGAAUUGUUGAGGGGCAGUAACGGAUGCUUGGAAAAUAUCAGGAGGAAAAGCAAAAUUGAUUUACUCUGCUGUUGAAUGGAAGACGGUGUCAAACUCGAGUGCCCAAGCACACACCAGCUUGUGGAGAGGGUUUGUGAAUGCCUACAUUGUGGGCUCUUAAAGGCAUUGGCCUUUGUACUAGAGGUUGACAGAUUCUGCUGGGUUUAUAAUUCAAAUCCUUUCAUACUGUGUGGUUAAAUUCUAAUGCUAUUAUUAUACCUAAAGGAAUUUAAUUUGCAAGUCAUGCCUUAUAUAACACUACAGGAAUUUAAUGUGCCAUCCAUGCCUUAUGAAACAUACUGAAUUUCUGGGAUUGGCCAGGGAACAACAGGUGUUGCUUACCUGACUAACAAAUCAGCUGUUGUGACAGGGAACAUGGUCGUGCACUUGCUGUGAUCUGACCUGCGUACCUUUGCCAAGGCUGCUAUGAAAACAUGGUGUGUUUAGCUUGAAUGGUGCUCCCAACCAUCCUGAGCAGAGGGGAAACUGUAACUGUCAAAUGAGUUCGGGGAAAUAAAGUCAAACUGGGUUGCUGGGGACAUCUUACUUAGAUAAUGGUCUGUAAACAUUGAAAACCCUGGGUGUAAAGUGGCAGUCUGGCUUUUUGUGUUGUCUUUUCCCAAUCCUGCUACCUCGGAACUUUGUCUUCAGGUUGGUUAUUUGUGCUGUGUUUUAUUUGUGUUUUAAAGUCAUGGUGUGACCAGGGAAUGACACUGGGACAGCAGAGUGUUGGUCACCUUGGAAUGGGAAAUGGGGGGAGCUGUAGCUGCGGUCUUUGUUCUAAUCGUCUUUCUCCUUUACAGCAAAAUAAAGGUUUGCGAUUGAAACACCUUAA